AGCAAGAGAAGCCAACUUUAGGAGCAUGCUUAUUGUGAUAUCCUCAGUGAUUUCGUUUACAAUACGUUCUGCUCAGGACUGUCAACUUUGUUAAACUGGCCAGAGAAAAAAAUAUAAAUGAAAACGACAAUUGAAGCAGUCGAAUAUAUCAGAAUUCAGCGAAGCUGGAUGGCUUCCCGACGAGCGCUGCGUUUUCUAUACCCGAUUCCUCCGCUCCAGCAGUGGCCGGGACCUCUAUGGCUGCUGUUGCUUUUGCUCUGGGUUCUGACGUUCUGAUGGACAGACAGGAAAAAAAAAAAGAAAGAAAGAAAAAAAGAAAAAAAAAAGCCACCAUGGAUCCCAUCCCUAAAGUAGACAUUUUCUUUUUCGCGCUGCAAACAAGCCUAAGGAUGGGAGGAGAAGGAAUGGGAAAGUGUCGCAGGAUUGUGGUUGUGCCACCCCGAGUGUUCGGCUUCAGCCCAAGGUGCUUUGGGAGACCCGAUCGCUGCCUCGUCCAGGGUGCGAAAGUUGUGUGAGCCCCGAGCAGCCUGGCUCCAGUGACAGCCACCUCUGCAUGUCAAUGUGUGCGGCAGCUCGCRGGGCGAAAGCUGCUCCGGCGCUGGAGAGGAAGAAGCCUUUGCUAAGCGUCCGUAGAAGGAUUAAAUGUUGAACAGGGGAAGAGGCAAAAAGUAAAUGCACGCCCCAAGGUUGUCCUCGCGUCGGGAACAGGUUGAAAGCACUGUGUGACCCAGGGCCCACCUGAACAGUAAAAGCAUAACGGGGAGAUAUUUCAAUUAGAAACCCCUUAACAAGCAUUUAAUCCUUCUCUAAGGCAUUAGGGGGAAUAGAAUAAAACUCUCACUGUACCAAUCUGCUGGAAGCUGAUUUUAACCCAUUUACAGACCCUUCCUUCCGCUGUAUCGAGACGUGGCUUCUAGGGAGUGGAGGCAGCGAAGAUUCUUCCYGUGCUCUAUGUUGCUUCUCUUUCCAAAAGUUGAGGAAUAUGCUCUUAAGACAACCCUGUUCAGUCAGCUGAUACCUUGUCCCGAAUCAGUGAGAGUCGUCCUGCCAGCGAUCCUGCCUCCUAAGCGGUUGGGAUUAUUGGAAGACGAAUUCUACUGGAUCGUAUCGGACUUUUCCUAGUCCCUGAGACCCUAACUUGUGAGGUUUUUUAGCAGCAAUCACAAGUCAGGCUCUUGGGACCUAGGCGGAGGGGAACCAGCAGCUUUGGACUCUGAUUCUCUCGCUGCCGAAUUCAGAGAAUCAAGGAGCUUUCCCAUCYAGGAAGGGAGGAGAAGGAUAAACCUGUUUCACGUGCGGAGCAGCGCAACCGUUCCUAAAGGAGAAGGAGCUGUUACCAUUGUGCUACGUUAAGAUGCUACAUAUUUGUCUGUGUUGAAAACUGGACUGGAUGCCGUGUAACAUUUGGAAUUAAAAUUUAAAUCUAAUGCCAAUUUGUACCUCAAAAAGAAAAAAAAAAGCACUAAAAUACAGCGUAUCCUAAAAUGUACAAAAGGCUGUCAACCAUAAUACUGUUAUUACAGACCAUUCUGUAGACGAUUAGUACAAAGCAUAUUUUCAGAUAUGUUGUUACAGCAUUUAAUUAACUUCUACAACGUAGAACAUAAACAUCGAUGUUUGAGGCCCGGAAAACAUUCAUUCCGUUAUUGUUUGAAUGAUGAUUUCAGCCUGCAGGAGAACUGUUGCUUAGCUUCUCYGGCAGUAUGGGACAGAGAGUAUUUUAUAAGUAGUUGCCAUCAUUUUUCUUUGUCUAAGUGAGAACAUGCUCCGACAUUGAAAAUUUUUUCUUGUUUAAUUUCCGUUCUAAAGCAGUGGGGAAAGUCAGGGUGAAAACCAUGCUAGAGCCUUAAAAUCACUUUACACGCAAAGCUGCCCACAUUCCUGGCCGGGAUUCAUCUGACCAGAGCCCGCAGCACCCUCAGAACCGACCUCAACUUCCAGCCUCYUCGGCACUUUCUGCGGCUUUUCUCCCGCUGGCAAAAAUGGAGCGACCUGUAGGUUGUCGCCCAUGUGUUAAGGACUUUGGUGACUUGGCAGAAAAACAUCUAACAGGACACAAGUUUCUCUGCACUGUUCAUUAAGGUUGAACUUCCAAUCGGCACCAGAGAAACUGGUUUGUAUUUCUCAGUAUUUUGUCUGUGGGCUCGGCAUGAUGUGGCUCUCUCCGGGUCCUGGUGUUGCGGGACCUUGUUGCUACCUCA